AUUGAACGCUGGCGGCAGGCCUAACACAUGCAAGUCGAGCGGUAGAGAGGUGCUUGCAUCUCUUGAGAGCGGCGGACGGGUGAGUAAUGCCUAGGAAUCUGCCUAGUGGUGGGGGAUAACGUUCGGAAACGGACGCUAAUACCGCAUACGUCCUACGGGAGAAAGCGGGGGAUCUUCGGACCUCGCGCCAUUAGAUGAGCCUAGGUCGGAUUAGCUAGUUGGUGAGGUAAUGGCUCACCAAGGCGACGAUCCGUAACUGGUCUGAGAGGAUGAUCAGUCACACUGGAACUGAGACACGGUCCAGACUCCUACGGGAGGCAGCAGUGGGGAAUAUUGGACAAUGGGCGAAAGCCUGAUCCAGCCAUGCCGCGUGUGUGAAGAAGGUCGUUCGGAUUGUAAAGCACUUAAGUU
rnacentral:rRNA from 1 species